GGUAAAUCUCAUGUGAAAUCGUCGGGCUCAACCCGACGGCGUGCUUGGGACACUACCAGGCUAGAGACCGGGAGGGGUCAAAGGUAUUCCAAGGGGAGCGGUAAAAUGUGAUAAUCCUUGGAAGAUCACCUAUGGCGAAGGCAUUUGACCGGAACGGAUCUGACGGUGAGGGACGAAGGCCAGGGAGCGAUCCGGAUUAGAUACCCGAGUAGUCCUGGCAGUAAACGCUGCGAGCAAGAUGUUGCACGUCUUGAGAGGGCGUGCAGUAUCGAAAGGAAGCUGUUAAGCUCGCCGCCUGGGAAGUACGGUCGCAAGACUGAAACUUUAAGGAAUUGGCGGGGGAGCGCCACCAGGGGUGCGGCGUGCGGUUUAAUCUAACUCAACACAGAGAACCUUACUAGAAGCGACGGCAGGAAGAAGGUCAGCCUGAAGGGCUUACCUGACGAGCCGAGAGGUAGUGCAUGGCCGCCGUCAGCUCGUGCCGUAAGGUGUCCAGUCAAGUCUGGCAACGAGCGAGACCUAUACCAACUAUUGCUAACGGCUACAUGUAGGACCGAGCACUUUGUUGGAACUGCCUUGGAAACAAGGAGGAAGGUGUAGGCAACGGUAGGUCUGUAUGCUCCGAAUCUUCUAGGCUACACGCGCGCAACAAUGGCAGUGACAAUGGGCUGCGACCCCGAAAGGGGAAGCUAAUCCUUGAAACACUGUCGCAGUUCUGAUUGAGGGCUGUAACUCGC
rnacentral:rRNA from 1 species